rnacentral:rRNA from 1 species
UACAGAGGGUGCAAGCGUUAAUCGGAAUUACUGGGCGUAAAGCGUGCGUAGGCGGUUACAUAAGUCGGGUGUGAAAGCCCCGGGCUCAACCUGGGAAUUGCAUUCGAGACUGCGUAGCUAGGGUGCGGAAGAGGGAAGCGGAAUUUCCGGUGUAGCGGUGAAAUGCGUAGAUAUCGGAAGGAACACCAGUGGCGAAAGCGGCUUCCUGGUCCAGCACCGACGUUCAGGCACGAAAGCGUGGGGAGCAAACAGG